GAUGAACGCUGGCGGCGUGCCUAAUACAUGCAAGUCGAGCGAACAGACGAGGAGCUUGCUCCUCUGACGUUAGCGGCGGACGGGUGAGUAACACGUGGAUAACCUACCUAUAAGACUGGGAUAACUUCGGGAAACCGGAGCUAAUACCGGAUAAUAUAUUGAACCGCAUGGUUCAAUAGUGAAAGACGGUUUUGCUGUCACUUAUAGAUGGAUCCGCGCCGCAUUAGCUAGUUGGUAAGGUAACGGCUUACCAAGGCGACGAUGCGUAGCCGACCUGAGAGGGUGAUCAGCCACACUGGAACUGAGACACGGUCCAGACUCCUACGGGAGGCAGCAGUAGGGAAUCUUCGGCAAUGGGCGAAAGCCUGACGGAGCAACGCCGCGUGAGUGAUGAAGGUCUUCGGAUCGUAAAACUCUGUUAUUAGGGAAGAACAAAUGUGUAAGUAACUAUGCACGUCUUGACGGUACCUAAUCAGAAAGCCACGGCUAACUACGUG
rnacentral:rRNA from 1 species